AUGGUUCUUCCUAAAUCUUCAACCAUAUUCCUGCUUCUCAUGAUUUUCCUGUCUGUAAUGCAAGGUUCCAUGUCUCAUAAUUUGGAAAAGAGAUCAGAAAGAAAGCUUUCUUCCAUGUAUACACAGAGUUAUUCUGCUAUUCUCUCUUCUUUGAAUUCUAGAAAAGAGAUGGUUACGUUAUCUUCUCUGCCACGAAACCUGCGAUGA